rnacentral:tRNA from 1 species
GGGGUUUUAGCCUAACGUUUAGAGCGUCAGACUUCCGAUUUGAAGAUCGGGGGGUUCGAUUCCCAACCAAACUCG